rnacentral:hammerhead_ribozyme from 1 species
AUCCGGCUGACGAGUCCCAAAGAGGACGAAACGCUCGUCCUGGAU